GUACCUAUUUUGAAGGAAUUAAGUCAUUUUAGAGGAGGAUUCAAAAUUACAAAAGAUCAGAGAAACAAUAGAGUCUGGUGCCUAAUUUGAAUUUUAUAUACAUAUGGAUGGUUCUUUAAGUUUUGGUAGUAAGUUGUAUAUUUCUAAUGUUUCAAAACUAAAGAAAGAGAUUUUAGAUUAGGCUCUAAUUCAGCUGAUAUGAUGCACCC
rnacentral:lncRNA from 1 species